rnacentral:rRNA from 1 species
GACGUAGGAUGCGAGCGUUGUUCGGAUUUAUUGGGCGUAAAGCGUACGUAGGCGGCUUUUUAAGUCUGGUGUUAAAGCUAGGGGCUCAACCCCUGUGUUGCACUGGAAACUGGAAGGCUUGAGUGUGGUAGGGGAAGGUGGAAUUCCGAGUGUAGCGGUGAAAUGCGUAGAUAUCUGGAGGAACACCGGUGGCGAAGGCGGCAUCCUGGACCGACAUUGACGCUGAGGAGCGAAAGCCAGGGGAGCAAACGGG